ACCUCAAAUCACAAACCCUAGCGCUCGCGAGCCCUCGGACACCGCCGCAGAUUCACGCACCCCCGCCGCUCCAAUCCCUCUCGGAGAUGUCGCACUUCGGUCGAUCCGGACCUCCGGACAUCAGAGAGACCUACUCCCUCCUCGUCCUCAACAUCACUUUCCGAACCACCGCGGACGACCUUUUCCCUCUCUUCGACAAGUACGGAAAGGUCGUCGAUGUCUUCAUUCCCCGAGACCGGAGAACUGGCGAUUCCCGCGGAUUCGCCUUCGUUCGGUAUAAGUAUCAGGAUGAGGCGCAGAAGGCUGUGGAGAAACUUGAUGGGAGAGUUGUCGAUGGUAGAGAGAUUAUGGUUCAGUUUGCUAAAUACGGCCCCAAUGCGGAGCGAAUCCACAAGGGUAGGGUAAGUGAAUCAACUUCUAAGCUCAAAUCAAGGUCCCGAAGCCGUAGCCGGAGCCCUCGUCCUAGGUAUCGAGAUGAAUAUAAGGAAAAGGAUUACGGAAGUCGCAGUCGAAGUAGGGAUAAAUAUAGUCGUGACAGGCACCAUAGGAGUGAAAGAGAGCAUCGCUACAGAAGUAGGAGCCGCAGUGCAAGUCCUGAUAAUCGUAAGAGGGGCAGAUAUGAUGAUGAGCGGCGGAGUCGAAGCCGGUCAUAUGGAAGUGCCUCUCCUGUUCGGAAUAGUCCCAAGUCUCGCAGGAGCCCCUCUCCUCGUAGGAGCUCAUCUCCUUGCAGGAGCCCUUCUCCUCGCAUGAGGACAUCUCCUCGUACGACACCUUCUAGGGUUGAGAAUGUUCAUGGACGCAACCGCAAGGAACGCUCUCCUACCCCCAAAGAUGUUUCACCAGAUGGACGACGUGAUGAUUCUCCAAGUCUUUCCCCUCGUAAAUCUGAUGCUGAUGAAUGAUGGACCCUCAUCUAUUGGCCCGAGAUGAUAACAUUUGGCUUGACGCCUUGUGUCUGCAUUCUUAGUUGGAGGAUGAGUUUCAUAUUUGGAUCAAAGUAUUGAAUGUUACUUUUGACUUCGUGCAGUUUUGUUGAAGGUUGAACAUUUCUUUGUUGGACUCAUGAUGUUCGGGAAGAGUGAACAUUGCUGAUUGGUGAGAUGCUGUAGCUGUACUAGCUGUUGGUGCUAUUUCUACUACAGAAAUGGUAGAUGUCAAUGUGUCGUGUCUCUGCUGAUUGCAGUCUGGUCUUAUCCUAUUAUCCUACUUGCACUGGUCGAUAGUUUGGCCUUAUGUAGUGGUAUCAGGAAGAGUGAACUUGCUGAUUGACGAGAUGCUGUAGUAGCUGUUGGUGCUUUUUUAACUACACAAAUGGUAGAUGUCAAUGUCAUGUUCUUGCUGAUUGCGGUCCGCUCUUAACCUGUUUUGCUUUCAUGAAUCUCUGGUUGGUAAGAGUAAAACUCAUGUUUCCAGUCUUAUAUCCAUCGGUUUUUCAGUUUUUUGUUUUUCCCUUGAUCACACUGAUUUUGCUUCACUGAUUGUAAAGUUUUGGUCCUGUAAAGGAAUCGGGGAUGCUGUGGUUGCCUAAAGUUGGUCGGAAUUCACUUGCCAUUGCAUGUAGCCGAUGCAGUAUAAGCUGAUGCAUUAAUUAUUUUUAGUAGCUGAUGCGGUUUUUUUCUUAUAGGAGCUGAUGCAAUUUAUAGGAACACAUUAAUUUUUGUUUUGCUUUUGUUUUCUUUUCUGGGAGUAGAAAAAAUAGCUGGGUGGUGGGCGCGUUACGAUCGAUCAUUAGCUAGUUGCUGGCUGCCGCCGCAGUGCUAUGAAUAUUCUCUAGUCAUGCCCAUAUUUAGUUCAUGUUCAACUAAAGCUAAGCUUGUAUAAUGAUAUUCUACUAUUGUGCAAUUUUUCUUUAAAUUCAUUGAAUUUCUUU